rnacentral:lncRNA from 1 species
UCCUCCAAAUUAUUUAGAAUAACAAUGACCUUGUUGCCAUUUCUUCAAAUCCUGCCUAAGAGAUUUCAGCUUAUGAGAUAUGAGUCUUUCUGGAUGACCUCUCCCAAGACUACUUGACACAACAAAAAAAACUUCAAUUUCCACCCAAUAAUUCUCAAACCUGAAUAAAUUAGAUUUAUGGAUGGAGGUUGUAAUCCUAACUACAUAGGCAACAUGAUCACAAAACAACAUUUCGAUACCAAAGGUAAUCAAAACUUGAACUAUUUUAUUGAGAACCUGGAUGAUUCCCCCAUUCCGGUUCAGGAUCAAAAUAGUAUGGUUACAGACCAAAAAAGAAAAAGAACAAAAGAAAAGUCGCAUCCUCUAUGCACUUCAAAAGUGCAGCAGAAUACACAACACAACAGGCUUCGUACGUUGCUUCAUUCUUCUCAGCUACAACGGAAGCAGGGGUUAUUCACCAUGGACCA